rnacentral:rRNA from 1 species
ACGGAAGGCAGCAGUGAGGAAUAUUGGUCAAUGGACGGAAGUCUGAACCAGCCAAGUAGCGUGAGGGAUGACUGCCCUAUGGGUUGUAAACCUCUUUUGUCGGGGAAUAAAGUGUGCCAUGUAUGGUAUAUUGCAUGUACCCGUCGAAUAAGGAUCGGCUGACUCCGUGCCAGCAGCCGCGGUAAUACGGAGGAUCCGAGCGUUAUCCGGAUUUAUUGGGUUUAAAGGGAGCGUAGGCGGAAGGUCAAGUCAGCUGUGAAAUGUAGUCGCUCAACGUCUGCACUGCAGUUGAAACUGGCCUCCUUGAGUGCGUAAGAGGCGGGCGGAAUUCGUCGUGUAGCGGUGAAAUGCUUAGAUAUGACGAAGAACUCCGAUUGCGAAGGCAGCUCGCUGGGCCGCAACUGACGCUGAAGCUCGAAGGUGCGGGUAUCAAACAGGAUUAGAUACCCUGGUA